UGGCGAGGGAACGCUGGAGGCGCCGAGAGUGCGCGGGGCGGUGGGGACACAGCCGAUUGGUGUCCUUCCUCUGCGCGACCACCCGGGCUUGGAGGGACUUGCGGUGAGCACGACGAGUGAGGCCGAUGGCGAAUGGGAAAUGGGCGGUUGCGUUCGUUCACGCGUUGAAGGGCCGCUCUCGGGGCGGCCAGGAGCAGAGUAUGUAUGGUCCGGGGCCCGGCGCUGUUUCGUUGGAGCCCCCAGCUCCCUUAGGUCCCUUGGGCUCCGUGUCAACGCCAAGACGUGUCCGACAACCAGGCUCAGUGUUCCCGGUGUUCGUGAGGUUGCACAAAAUAGGAGACACUUGAAUCUUUUUCCUGCUGGGGUGGGAGGCGACCGGGAAUACAUUCUGAUUCCAUGACCUUAUUAUAACAGGCCCUUGAGGCAGUGUGUCUCUGUGGCGCAAUCGGUUAGCGCGUUUGGCUGUUAACAGAAAGGAUGGUGGUUGGAGCCCACCCAGCCCACCUCUUCUGCACAGCACCUCCUCUGCUAUUACUUGGGUUCUUCUCAUCCUCAAAACCUGCUGGUUUUCUUUCUUCCAUCUCCUCCUGCAGGUCUGUGAGUUCAGUGUGUGGACUCAGUUCAGGCUCCUGCAGGAAAAACACAGACAUUGGGACCAAAGUCAAGACUUGCCUGCAGUUCCCAGGGUACAUGGAACAUGCAUCUCUGACCCACAGGCAUGCAGGGAAAGAAAAAAAAACUCAGCAGGAGAGGAACUUCGAGUAUUGGAAGGACUUUAUCUUCCUGAUGAAGACACUGUGGUUCAUGGAGAUAGGGAGAUUCUCCCAGGUUCCCACACCACUUGGGGGCAGCAGAGCCACCCAUGAGCCUUGGCCACAAGUUUUCCUGUCCAAAAGCACCGGGAUCCCACAACUGAAUGUCAGGGAACACUGGAUCGAAAAUACAAUUGUUCACUCUUUAAAAAACAAAAAACACCUGAAACAUGCUUCCUGAAAAAAACCGUGCGUCACUGUUCAACUGUCCCAUGUUUAUACUCAGGCACUUGUCAGUCCGGGCUGGCAUAUAGGACCCGUGAACACAAAAGCACUAAGCACAUCACAGUCAUAUUUUAAUAUGUAUUAUCUGUCAAUAUGCACCUUCCGUGCUAGAGAUCAUCUUUCUGACAGCAGGCACUCUCCUGGCCUGGUUCACCCCACCUCUCCUCCCCAGUGCCUCCUCAAGUGCCGGCCAGAUCCAACAUUUACUGCCCAGCAGAUAAACACCAGGUACCAGGGCUACCUUUUAUCCAUGUCUUCUCGUCCCGUCACAUUUCCAAUCAGAUCUUAUCCUACGUCGGUGCUAAACAGCGAAAGCACAGUCCUAGGAAAAGCAGUCCACCAUGCAAAUAUCUGCUCCAUCAUGCACCAAAGUUACAUGACAUGAAGAUUUCAUCACCCUCUGGGGCACACUGAUCUCAUGGAUAGGGAACACGGAGGACUGUAGAAUGUGAAACAGACAAGGCUGUAUUAACCUGGGAUGAGUAAAUGUGCUCUCCUUCAGCCCACAGCCCCUAAGCCCCGAGCUAAAGAUCGGACAGAUAUGCAGUUACUUCUGCUCCUCUCAAACAAGACCACAUCACAUGUCCCACCAGAAAGAGUUAAGAGGGCUUUGUGCCUGCUAUUGCAUUUAUUAAUCACCUUUUAAAUUUGUAUUUAUUUAUUUUAGCUUUUUAGGCCUGCGGCAUGUGGACGUUCCCAGGCUGGGAAUCAAAUAGGAGCUACAGCUGCCGGCCUACUCACAGCUCCCACAGUAUGGGAGACAUGCUGCCUAUCGACCAACACCACAGCUCAGAGCCAACACCAGGUACUUAUCCCCUUGAGUGAGGCCAGGGAUCGAACCCCCAUCCUCAUUGAUACUAGUCGGGUUCGUUAACCACUGAGCCAUGAAGGGAACUUCUGUGCUUGCCAUUUUCAACGUGAUUUGAGGAGUUCCCUGCUGGCUCAGUGACUUAAGGAUCCAGCGAGGUCCCUGGCUCAGGUGACUGAAGUGCUAAAGGUUCAAUCCCUGGCCCUGGAACCCCGCAGGCCGUGGGUCAGGAAACAAAGGUGCUUUGAGGGGAGCAGUCAUUAACCACAUAGGAUGAGCUGACAUAACCGACUAGCCUUUACCUUAGGUCUUCUCUCGAAGGGUGAAGGAAGGGCUUGUCUCUUGCUAAAGAACAUCCAUUCAAGGGGCAGUAAGAGGAAAGGUAGGAUCCUAGGGUCAGGCCUUCCCUACCACACUCACGGUCAACUCAGGAAAGGGCCACCCCUUUCCAGGGCCUAGGCUGAGCUCCACGGUCCUCAGUGGCUUUUCUAAACCCUGGGCAACCCCGGACACUUCCCAGUUACCCUGGUAACUGUACACCUACACUGACAGCUCCCUUUCAGGUACCCCUGUAUGGGAGGAGGCCCAUGAGGCUGCCUUAGCACCCACUGUCCUGCAUCUGAAGCCAAUUGGCUCUUUAAACAGAGUCAGCUCAGCUCCUGGGUGCCCAGGUGAGAGGAGGGUGAUGCUCAGGGAAGCUGCUGAGAGGCCAGGGAGAAGCCACACCCCCCAUGUGGCCCCACUGUGACCAGAAUCCUCCAUCUCCCACCUCCUCCUGUCCUGGAGGGAUGGCUGCAGGGGCUCACCUGCCACAGGAGCAUCUUGGUGAAAUCUGGAACCUUUGCCAGCGCCUGGAGGAGUCCAUUGUAUUCAUGACCACCUGAGGGAGCAGCUGCAACACAGGCUUAGCUCCACUGCCCCCUGAACAGGAAGGAGAGGCCCAGGGCUUCCCACUCCUGGUCACAAUGAGGGGGCUUCUGAAGGUCACCCUUAGGCUGAGCUUCACAGAUGGCAGAGCACUGAGGUCUGCUUUCCGCCAUUUGCUCCUAACACACAGACAGUCAGCAAGGCGGGAGGGGAAAGGACCAUUCUCCUCCUUUGUAGAUACAUCUGAGCUGAGUGGUAACUCUCCUCAGGCCAGAAUUAACCAGGCCUGGUCCCCAGAAUCCUCUGACUUCUCCACCCUCCUUACUUAAUCUGCUCACAGGCUGCCUGCUGACCUCUCUGUGCCUUUGUCUUGUGCUUGGCUAGUGGCAGAGUCAGGUCUGCAGGGGCCUCCCCCAGCCUCUCCCCUGCCCCUGCUGGCUUCCUCCCCUCCCUCUCCCCCAGGCUGUGACCCUUGCAGGCAUCCCUCCCACCUGCCUGGGUCCUGCCCACAGCACAGCAGCAGCUAUUUAGGGGAAAGAGCCUCCGGAGCAGCUGCAGCCAGGGCAGGAGAUCAGGCAGGCAAAGAGCCCUCUGAGAGGAGGCACAGCCAAGCCAGGCAUUCGGCCCCUCAGGCUCCAGGCCCAGGCCUCGAGUCCUUGGGGUUUUCUGCUGGCUGGGACAGGAUCUUUGAGGUGCAGAAUGGGCAACAGCAUUGAGCCUCUCUUACCCACCUGUGUAACCUGCCGUCUUGCAUGUUCUGGGUCGGGAUUCCCCUCGACCUUCUCCAAUCCGGGCCUGGAGUCCACGCCUCAGGUCUACAAUGAGAACCAGAGCCUUCAGGCUCAGCUGGGUCACGUUUCCAGAGGUGAGUGUCAAUAGCUGCCAAGAGUGUUCAGUGUUGGGCCCCUUCUUGCCUGGCCACGUCAAUCGCCCUCUGGGGAAGCAAAGAGACAAGGUGGAGAGGACAGCGCUUCCCAGACCCACCACCCAAACUCCCAGAGCUCUUCUCAGCUUCCAAAGGAUGCCUUCCUGACACAUCCCAACCACGGGCCCUCAGGCUCCUGGGCUCCUGGGCUCCAGGGACAAGGAGCUCUAGGAAAUCCACCCCUUCUGGGCAAACCUCCCCACACAUACUCAGUCAUUAGCUAGCCAACUGGCCACCACUUAGUGUCUGUUCUACCUGCCCACCACCCACAGCUACUCUGGAACCAGGCAAGGAAGGGGCCUGAGGGCCCAGACACCCUCUCCGGGUUCUCCAGGCUCUGUUGCAGCUCUGUGUGUCCCUCCUCAAACUAGUCUGCUCUCCCCAUGACUCCUCUCCACCGCCUACUCAUACACUCAGGCUCCUGUUAGGUCACUGAUUCUCAUGACUGUGUCUGGAGGUGAUACAAAUAUGUCCUGGCAGACUGACCUCUUUAAAUCUUACUAUUUAUUGGGCAUCAGUACAUGGGCAUCAUUUUCAGUGUGGCCUGGUGGGCAGCUGACCUUAGUGUUAACUGACUUAAUGAAACCAAUAUAUUUUUGAUUAGAACUUAUUUUUAUUUACAAAUAUUUGUUCAAUAGCCAGAAGACAUAAAGAAUAGUGGCUAAGAGGAUUACAACCAGAAUGAAAGAAUGCUUGUGGGAAAGGAUAAAGUUAUUGAGAGAUAUCUCUAAAUUAGCUCCCUCUGGAGUUGUCACUGUGGCUUAGUGGUAAUGAACCCAAUUAGUGUCCAUGAGGCCACAUGUUCAAUCCCUGGCCUCGCUCAGUUGGUUAAGGAUCCCACGUUGC
rnacentral:lncRNA from 1 species